GAUCCUGGCUCAGGACGAACGCUGGCGGCGUGCCUAACACAUGCAAGUCGAACGGAAGUUAGAGCUUCGGUUUUAACUUUAGUGGCGAACGGGUGAGUAACGCGUGAGGAACCUGCCUUUCAGUGGGGGGACAACAGUUGGAAACGACUGCUAAUACCGCAUGACACUUUUGGGAGACAUCUCCUAAAAGUCAAAGCUUUAUGUGCUGAAAGAUGGCCUCGCGUCUGAUUAGCUAGUUGGCGAGGUAACGG
rnacentral:rRNA from 1 species